AGCGGUGGAGCAUGUGGUUUAAUUCGAUGCUACGCGAAGAACCUUACCAGGUCUUGACAUCUUCUGCCAACCUAAGAGAUUAGGCGUUCCCUUCGGGGACAGAAUGACAGGUGGUGCAUGGUUGUCGUCAGCUCGUGUCGUGAGAUGUUGGGUUAAGUCCCGCAACGAGCGCAACCCUUAUUGUUAGUUGCCAGCAUUCAGUUGGGCACUCUAGCAAGACUGCCGGUGACAAACCGGAGGAAGGUGGGGAUGACGUCAAAUCAUCAUGCCCCUUAUGACCUGGGCUACACACGUGCUACAAUGGACGGUACAACGAGUCGCGAAACCGCGAGGUCAAGCUAAUCUCUUAAAGCCGUUCUCAGUUCGGGUUGUAGGCUGCAACUCGCCUACAUGAAGUUGGAAUCGCUAGUAAUCGUGGAUCAGCAUGCCACGGUGAAUACGUUCCCGGGCCUUGUACACACCGCCCGUCACACCAUGAGAGUUUGUAACACCCAAAGCCGGUGAGGUAACCUUCGGGGACCAGCCGUCUAAGGUGGGACAGAUGAUUAGGGUGAAGUCGUAACAAGGUAACC
rnacentral:rRNA from 1 species